UGUUUGUGUGAGAAGAAGCAAAUCCCAGCAUAACGCAUGCUAGGUGUUCGACGAAAUGUUUGAAUUGGGAUUGUCGUUGAUAUUGUGGAUCUGAGUCGUGCUUUGUAUUGGUGAGCCGAUUCCUUGCUCUUAUUCUUUGGUUCUAUGCCUGAAGUGAUUAGAUGUAUUAAAUACGAUGAAUCUCUUGUUUCUAGCACAGGUGUGUCGUGGUGAAUAUCUCUAGAUCCGCGACUAUGUCUGUGUGUUUUGUUCUAUGGUGACGUCAGGAAAGUAUCUUUCCUCUCUUUCCCUUGUCUUUGUGAUGCUUUGUUGUAUGCCAUAUGUUUGGUGAAUGAAUAUGUAUAGAAGGAUUAAAUUGUUUAGGCAUAUGCAUAGCAUGAAUAAAAUGAGUUCUUCUUGUGUGAUGAUAUACUGUAUGGAAUGUGCUUGAUUGGAUAUAUGUGUAUGCAAAGUAUGAUUAAUUAGUUCUUUGUUUGCAUGAAGUGAGAGUAGAUUUAAAAAUACUAGGUUAUAUGAAGUGAAUGGAUUCAUGGUUAUAAUGUAUAAGUAAUCUAUAUAUGUGAUUAGGAAGUGUCAAGCAUGAAAGUUGUAGAAGUAAAUAUGAACCCAAUUGGAAUGUUUGCUGUUUGGACUGCGUGUACAGUUUUGAUUGUGCAACUAAUCUAGUGAAGCAAAUCAUAUUUCCUGUGAAAAUGUUAUAUAUAAAAGUUGUAGAUAACCUCCUUAUCUUGCUCAUGCUAAAAUUUCAUUACCAUUGGCCCAAUAAUCUGAAAGUUUUGCUUCUCCCAAGUUCAGUAUCAGAAUCUGUCCAGAUUCUAUACAGAUUUCGAAAAUGGCCUUGUUUGCCCAAGUUAAACUUAGAAUCAGUUCUUAUAAAUUAUAAAGAAGUUGUAGUACUUUUCUUAAGCUUUCCAACAAAUUUUGGAUCACCCUUUUUGGUGGUAUAGAAGUCAAGUUAUGGUUGAUUGAAAUGUGAUGACUGAAUCUGUCCAAAUCUGGACAGCAAUAUUUGUUUGUAUUGACUGACUUUGAUAUAUAUUGAAUCAACCUAAGAUGUUUAUAAAUGAGUUGUAGACAAUUUUAUAAGCUUUCUAGAAAUUCUUGGAUCACCUGUUUUGGAUGCCUAAAUCUCCAGUUAUGGAGUUUUGAAGUGAGUAGUCGAAUUCCGUCCAAAUCUGGACAGCAUUAUCAUUUAAUACUGAUUGACCUUUUUAAGUGUCUAAUCUCAUGGUGAUGAUAAUACCAAAGUUGUAUAGGAUUUCUUAGGCUUUCCAGAAAGUCUUAGUUCACUAUUUUUGGAUGAAUAUUUUGUGAGUUGUGAACAAAACAAUUGACUACUGUGUGCUGUCCAGAAAAUCUGCAAUUGAGCACUUGAUUUUGUUCUUGUUUGGCUAAGUAGGAAUAAUUAGUUUUUGAUUCUUGAGUGAUGAAGACUUGUGGCAUUUGAAAUGUUUCUCCAAAUGUUUUGUUGCAUAUGGUUGAGAUUUUUCUUUCUUAAUGUGUGCUCUAAACCUAUUAGUUUGGGAAGUGAUGUGCCUGCACUUAGAGGGAUCAUCGUGAUUUUGUGCUCGUGGUAGUAUACAACAAAAACAUGUGCUUUUAUCUUAACGUCUGUUUGGUAUAUAUUGUGUGUUUUUGUGAGAAAUAUAUUGCAAAAUCUCUCUCUCUCUCUAUAUAUAUAUAUAUCUACACCUGACUCUACAAUAUAUAGGACAUCGCUCGAAUUGUUUAUAUGCAGGAAUAGGUUGUACAAAUAAUUUGAAAUUGACAUUAACCACUAGGUGGCCACCCAUCAUUGUUUUUUACCAUAAGGAGUCUCAUUUUCCAGUUCUUACGGAAUAUACAAAUUUAUCUGAAUUUCGAUUGUUUUUCUGCUUGUGAACCUUUUAGGUUCUGCACAACAGGACUUCCUAGCGAUGUCACCGUUGAGGUUGGGGAUAUGUCUUUCCACCUUCACAAGUUCCCUUUACUUUCAAAAAGUGCCUUUCUUGAACGGUCAAUUGAAGAAAAUUCUGACC